CUACGGGGGGCUGCAGUGGGGAAUAUUGGGCAAUGGGCGCAAGCCUGACCCAGCAACGCCGCGUGAAGGAAGAAGGCUUUCGGGUUGUAAACUUCUUUGACCAAGGACGAAGAACGUGACGGUACUUGGAAAACAAGCCACGGCUAACUACGUGCCAGCAGCCGCGGUAAUACGUAGGUGGCAAGCGUUGUCCGGAUUUACUGGGUGUAAAGGGCGUGUAGGCGGGACUGCAAGUCAGAUGUGAAAUCUGGGGGCUUAACCCUCAAACUGCAUUUGAAACUGUGGUUCUUGAGUGAUGGAGAGGCAGGCGGAAUUCCUAGUGUAGCGGUGAAAUGCGUAGAUAUUAGGAGGAACACCAGUGGCGAAGGCGGCCUGCUGGACAUUAACUGACGCUGAGGCGCGAAAGCGUGGGGAGCAAACAGGAUUAGAUACCCCCGUAGUC
rnacentral:rRNA from 1 species